rnacentral:rRNA from 1 species
CCUACGGGAGGCAGCAGUGAGGAAUAUUGGUCAAUGGACGAGAGUCUGAACCAGCCAAGUAGCGUGAAGGAUGACUGCCCUAUGGGUUGUAAACUUCUUUUAUAUGGGAAUAAAAUGUUCCACGUGUGGGAUUUUGUAUGUACCAUAUGAAUAAGGAUCGGCUAACUCCGUGCCAGCAGCCGAGGUAAUACGGAGGAUCCGAGCGUUAUCCGGAUUUAUUGGGUUUAAAGGGAGCGUAGGUGGAUUGUUAAGUCAGUUGUGAAAGUUUGCGGCUCAACCGUAAAAUUGCAGUUGAAACUGGCAGUCUUGAGUACAGUAGAGGUGGGCGGAAUUCGUGGUGUAGCGGUGAAAUGCUUAGAUAUCACGAAGAACUCCGAUUGCGAAGGCAGUUCACUGGACUGCAACUGACACUGAGGCUCGAAAGUGUGGGUAUCAAACAGGAUUAGAUACCCGAGUAGUC